UACGUAGGGACCAAGCGUUGUUCGGAUUUACUGGGCGUAAAGGGCGCGUAGGCGGCAAUUCAAGUCAUCUGUGAAAUCUCCGAGCUUAACUCGGAACGGUCAGAUGAUACUGCUUUGCUAGAGUGCAGAAGGGGCAAUCGGAAUUCUUGGUGUAGCGGUGAAAUGCGUAGAUAUCAAGAGGAACACCUGAGGUGAAGACGGGUUGCUGGGCUGACACUGGCGCUGAGUGCGCGAAAGCCAGGGGAGCAAACGGG
rnacentral:rRNA from 1 species